GAUGAACGCUAGCGGCAGGCCUAAUACAUGCAAGUCGAGGGGCAGCACGGUAGCAAUACUGGUGGCGACCGGCGCACGGGUGCGUAACACGUAUACAAUCUGCCUUUAACAGGGGGAUAGCCUUUCGAAAGAGAGAUUAAUACCCCAUAACAGUUUGACUGGCAUCAGUUGAAUUUGAAAGCUCCGGCGGUUAAAGAUGAGUACGCGUUUGAUUAGCUAGUAGGUGAGGUAACGGCUCACCUAGGCGACGAUCAAUAGGGGAUCUGAGAGGAUUAACCCCCACACGGAUACUGAGACACGGACUCGACUCCUACGGGAGGCAGCAGUAAGGAAUAUUGGACAAUGCCCGCAAGGGUGAUCCAGCCAUGCCGCGUGCA
rnacentral:rRNA from 1 species